GAAUUUUAUAUAAAAUUUAUAUAUAUAUAUAAUAAAUAUAGAAAGUAUAAAUUUAUAUUUUAUUGGGAGGAUAAUUAAAUUUUUUUAACUUUAUUUAAUUGAAUACAUUAAUUAAUGAAAAUUUUGAAUUAAAUUUAUAUUAAUAGAAUUAAUUACCUUAGGGAUAACAGCGUUAUAUUUUUAGAAAGAUCAUAUUGAUAAAAAUUAUUGC
rnacentral:rRNA from 1 species